rnacentral:lncRNA from 1 species
AUGAGCCUAGUUUAUCACAAGUCUUUAAAAAGCAAAUGCUCUUUUCUAUUUACAGAGAACCAGAGAGACAAUAGCAUGAGAAAGACUCCACCUGACAUUGCUGAUUUUGAAGAUAUAAGAAAAAUAGAAAGUCAAGGGGUGCAGCUGCCUCUACAAGCUGAAAAUAGCCUCCAAUUUGUGGAGGAAGCUCCUUUCACUCUUAUAUUACUCUAUGCUGAUGUCAUAAAUCAAUACAGAGUUGCCAGUUUGCCUAGGAGGACUCUCAUGGAUGGGGUUUGGGUACAGAUAGAAAGAAUGACAACAUUUCCACAGAAUAGAUCACAAUGAGCUUUGUCAACAUAAAAGUGGGGAUGUAACUGAUAUUUAAUAGCUCAAAGCUUUAUGCUAAGCAUAUUACAAAUAAAAACUUUCAUUUGUCCUUUAUAUUUCCCCUG